rnacentral:rRNA from 1 species
UUUAUUGGAGAGUUUGAUCCUGGCUCAGGACGAACGCUGGCGGCAUGCCUAAUACAUGCAAGUCGAGCGGAGUUGAUAGGAAGCUUGCUUCCUUGAUACUUAGCGGCGGACGGGUGAGUAACACGUAGGCAACCUGCCCUCAAGCUUGGGACAACUACCGGAAACGGUAGCUAAUACCGAAUACUUGCUUUCUUCGCCUGAAGGAAGCUGGAAAGACGGAGUAAUCUGUCACUUGAGGAUGGGCCUGCGGCGCAUUAGCUAGUUGGUGAGGUAACGGCUCACCAAGGCGACGAUGCGUAGCCGACCUGAGAGGGUGAUCGGCCA